UAUACGAGCCAGUGCGCCGGCGCCGACGUUUCCGAACGGACGAUUGGAUAGCGCGAUUGUAUAUUGCGAAAAUACCGCAAACUUAACGUAUUUAAUCUUAGUACAUUUCGAGUGACCGACCUUACAAGUGCACUUUCUUAACCCACAUAAAAUCGAUGGAUUUUUGAAAAAGUGAAAUGUGAAGUACGCAAUUAAAUGGUGAAGACUAUUGGCUUUUGUUAUGCUAUAACGGAGACGUUAGAAUUAAACUCGCACAGUACUUCUGGUUUGCUUAAUUGAAUGAGUAUUUGUUAUAUGACAAAUAUAAAGAUUUUGUUCGAAUAGACAAUGUUAAUAACGAAGUAUACGGCGAUACUGUUGGAGAGUGCUAGGAGUGCUGAAGCAAGGAAUGCUUUGUCGAUUCCCAAUCGAGGAGUGGGUGAUGCGGAUUGGUCAUCAUCACUGGACAGUGUUCCAAAUCGUAGGAGACAAUGGAGACGCCGGCAUGUAGCUCACAG
rnacentral:misc_RNA from 1 species